GACAGAGGUGCCGAGCGUUAGGCGGAAUCACUGGGCUUAAAGCGUGUGUAGGCGGAUCCGUAAGUACCUUGUGAAAUCCCACGGCUCAACCGUGGAACUGCUCGGUAUACUGCGGGUCUUGAGCCACUUAGGGGCAACCGGAACAAACGGUGGAGCGGUGAAAUGCGUAGAUAUCAUUUGGAACGCCAAUGGUGAAAACAGGUAGCUGGGGCUGUGCUGACGCUGAGACACGAAAGCCAGGGGAGCAAACGGG
rnacentral:rRNA from 1 species